rnacentral:rRNA from 1 species
AUUGAACGCUCGCGGGAUGCUUUACACAUGCAAGUCGAACGAGUGGCGGACGGGUGAGAUAUCUAUCGGAACGUGCCCAGUAGCGGGGGAUAACUACUCAAAAGAGUGGAUAAUACCGAAUACGAUUGGAGCGGCCGAUAUCGGUUUAGAUAGUGGGUGGGGUAAAGGCUCACCAAGGACACGAUCCGUAGUUGGUUGGAGAGGACGACCAGCCACACUGGGACGAAGACACGGCCCAGACUCCUACGGGAGGCAGCAGUGGGGAAUUUUGGACAAUGGGGGAAACCCUGAUCCAGCCAUCCCGCGUGUAUGAGAAGGCCUUCGGGUUGUAAAGUACUUUUGGCAGAGAAGCGGUAUCUGCAGAAUAAGCACCGGCUAACUCCGUGCCAGCAGCCGCGGUAAUAC